UACGUAGGGGGCAAGCGUUGUCCGGAUUUAUUGGGCGUAAAGAGCUCGUAGGUGGUUCGGUAAGUCGGAUGUGAAAUCUCCAGGCUUAACCUGGAGCUGUCGUCGGAUACUGAGCGCCUCGAGAGAGGUAGGGGGCAGGGGAAUUCCCGGUGUAGCGGUGAAAUGCGUAGAUAUCAAGAGGAACACCUGAGGCGAAGGCGGGUUGCUAGGCUGACACUGACGCUGACAGCGCGAAAGCCAGGGGAGCAAACGGG
rnacentral:rRNA from 1 species